UUAUUUGUUUCAAGAAAUUAUGCAUUUAGCCUCUUUGUAAUAUAAGUACAAAGAGGCUAAAUGCAUAAUUUCUUGAAACAAAUAAUAU